AGACGGUAGGGGGCAAGCGUUGUCCGGAAUUACUGGGCGUAAAGGGUGCGUAGGCGGCAUUACAAGUCUAAUGUGAAACUCCCCGUGCUUAACAGUGGGGUUUGCAAUAGAAACUGUAAAGCUAGAGUGCAGGAGAGGUAAGUGGAAUUCCUAGUGUAGCGGUGAAAUGCAUAGAUAUUAGGAGGAACACCAGUGGCGAAGGCGACUUACUGGACUGUAACUGACGCUGAAGCACGAAAGCGUGGGGAUC
rnacentral:rRNA from 1 species